rnacentral:misc_RNA from 1 species
AAAAAAACCUUUUGAAGAUAUAAAAGCUGGUAGUCUUGAAAAAGAGAGGCAACAGCUUGAAAUUGAAGAACAAGAGCAACUUGAAGACGAAAUUAAAGAAGAGCAACUUCAAAUUGAAGAUGAUCAAACUACAUAGCCAACAACAGAAAUUGAAGAAUCCAAUUUAAUUGUUGAGCCUUCACUUGUUGAAGAGUGUAUUAUAGAGCAAGAAGCUGAUGAAGCCAAUUGAGUAUGGAGACUACAAUGGAGAUUGGACAAAAUCAAGUUAAUCCUAAUGUAUUGAAAAGUCUUCUCAUUGUCGUUGUCACUGGUUUGAAAGUUUUCAAAGAUGCAAAAGAAAGCAUGAAGUUCUUUGUUUCAAUUUCAUUGCCACCUUCGAAGAAAACAUAGUUGUGUGUUCUUCUCACUCAGUUCUUGAUCCUUCCACACUUCAAAACUCGAGGUCGAGUUUUCUCCACCCAUGGGACAAUGAUUCAAUAUUGGUGUUGGAGUAGGAUUAUACUUAGGAAUUUUAUUUAUUAUAGAAUUAGAAAAUUUAA